GCCAGGUGUGGUGGCGCACACCUGUAGUCCCAAGCUACUAGAGAGGCUGAGGCAGGAGAAUCACUUGAGCCCAGGAGUUCAAGGCUGCAGUGAGUUAUGCUUGCACCACUGCACUCUAGCCUGGGUGACAGAGUGAGACCCUGUCUCAA
ensembl:misc_RNA Metazoa_SRP Metazoan signal recognition particle RNA